rnacentral:rRNA from 1 species
AUUGAACGCUGGCGGCAGGCCUAACACAUGCAAGUCGAGCGGAUGAAGGGAGCUUGCUCCUGGAUUCAGCGGCGGACGGGUGAGUAAUGCCUAGGAAUCUGCCUGGUAGUGGGGGAUAACGUCCGGCAACGGGCGCUAAUACCGCAUACGUCCUGAGGGAGAAAGUGGGGGAUCUUCGGACCUCACGCUAUCAGAUGAGCCUAGGUCGGAUUAGCUAGUUGGUGGGGUAAAGGCCUACCAAGGCGACGAUCCGUAACUGGUCUGAGAGGAUGAUCAGUCACACUGGAACUGAGACACGGUCCAGACUCCUACGGGAGGCAGCAGUGGGGAAUAUUGGACAAAGGGCGAAAGCCUGAUCCAGCCAUGCCGCGUGUGUGAAGAAGGUCUUCGGAUUGUAAAGCACUUUAAGUUGGGAGGAAGGGCAGUAAGUUAAUACCUUGCUGUUUUGACGUUACCAACAGAAUAAGCACCGGCUAACUUCGUG